rnacentral:rRNA from 1 species
AUGGCUCAGGAUGAACGCUAGCUACAGGCUUAACACAUGCAAGUCGAGGGGAAACGAUAUAGAAAGCUUGCUUUCUUAGGCGUCGACCGGCGAAUGGGUGAGUAACGCGUAUCCAACCUGCCCCUGAGUAAGGGAUAGCCCAUCGAAAGAUGGAUUAAUACCUUAUGGUCUCCUUUGCAGACAUCUAAUUAGGAGUAAAGAUUUAUCGCUGAGGGAUGGGGAUGCGUCUGAUUAGCUUGUUGGCGGGGUAACGGCCCACCAAGGCAACGAUCAGUAGGGGUUCUGAGAGGAAGGUCCCCCACAUUGGUACUGAGACACGGACCAAACUCCUACGGGAGGCAGCAGUGAGGAAUAUUGGUCAAUGGACGGAAGUCUGAACCAGCCAAGUAGCGUGCCAGGAAGACUGCCCUAUGGGUUGUAAACUGCUUUUAUACGGGGAUAAAGUCAGGGUCGUGACCCUGUUUGCAGGUACCGUAUGAAUAAGGACCGGCUAAUUCCGUGCCAGCAGCUGC